rnacentral:rRNA from 1 species
UUUACGGAGAGUUUGAUCCUGGCUCAGGACGAACGCUGGCGGCGUGCUUAACACAUGCAAGUCGAACGAUGAUGCCCAGCUUGCUGGGUGGAUUAGUGGCGAACGGGUGAGUAACACGUGAGUAACCUGCCCCUGACUCUGGGAUAAGCGUUGGAAACGACGUCUAAUACUGGAUAUGACUGCCGGCCGCAUGGUCUGGUGGUGGAAAGAUUUUUUGGUUGGGGAUGGACUCGCGGCCUAUCAGCUUGUUGGUGAGGUAAUGGCUCACCAAGGCGACGACGGGUAGCCGGCCUGAGAGGGUGACCGGCCACACUGGGACUGAGACACGGCCCAGACUCCUACGGGAGGCAGCAGUGGGGAAUAUUGCACAAUGGGCGAAAGCCUGAUGCAGCAACGCCGCGUGAGGGAUGACGGCCUUCGGGUUGUAAACCUCUUUUAGUAGGGAAGAAGGGAGCUUGCUCUUGACGGUACCUGCAGAAAAAGCACCGGCUAACUACGUGCCAGCAGCCGCGGUAAUACGUAGGGUGCAAGCGUUGUCCGGAAUUAUUGGGCGUAAAGAGCUCGUAGGCGGUUUGUCGCGUCUGCUGUGAAAUCCCGAGGCUCAACCUCGGGCUUGCAGUGGGUACGGGCAGACUAGAGUGCGGUAGGGGAGAUUGGAAUUCCUGGUGUAGCGGUGGAAUGCGCAGAUAUCAGGAGGAACACCGAUGGCGAAGGCAGAUCUCUGGGCCGUAACUGACGCUGAGGAGCGAAAGCAUGGGGAGCGAACAGGAUUAGAUACCCUGGUAGUCCAUGCCGUAAACGUUGGGCGCUAGAUGUAGGGACCUUUCCACGGUUUCUGUGUCGUAGCUAACGCAUUAAGCGCCCCGCCUGGGGAGUACGGCCGCAAGGCUAAAACUCAAAGGAAUUGACGGGGGCCCGCACAAGCGGCGGAGCAUGCGGAUUAAUUCGAUGCAACGCGAAGAACCUUACCAAGGCUUGACAUACACCGGAAACGGCCAGAGAUGGUCGCCCCCUUGUGGUCGGUGUACAGGUGGUGCAUGGUUGUCGUCAGCUCGUGUCGUGAGAUGUUGGGUUAAGUCCCGCAACGAGCGCAACCCUCGUUCUAUGUUGCCAGCGGGUUAUGCCGGGGACUCAUAGGAGACUGCCGGGGUCAACUCGGAGGAAGGUGGGGAUGACGUCAAAUCAUCAUGCCCCUUAUGUCUUGGGCUUCACGCAUGCUACAAUGGCCGGUACAAAGGGCUGCGAUACCGUAAGGUGGAGCGAAUCCCAAAAAGCCGGUCUCAGUUCGGAUUGAGGUCUGCAACUCGACCUCAUGAAGUCGGAGUCGCUAGUAAUCGCAGAUCAGCAACGCUGCGGUGAAUACGUUCCCGGGCCUUGUACACACCGCCCGUCAAGUCAUGAAAGUCGGUAACACCCGAAGCCGGUGGCCUAACCCUUGUGGAAGGAGCCGUCGAAGGUGGGAUCGGUGAUUAGGACUAAGUCGUAACAAGGUAGCCGUACCGGAAGGUGCGGCUGGAUCACCUCCUUU